GGAGGAGUUACGCAGGCAGGGUUGUGGUUGCUGGCUGUUACCAGGACAACCGGAGGCGAUUGACCGUUAUCUGCGGUUUGGAGCCGUUAGCGGGAGAGGCAGAGAUAUUCAGAGGUCUUUUAGGAUGCGCUAAAGGGUCGUGAGGGCUCUCUUAAAAUUUUCUUCACAAGCGGUUAUCCAGUCGUGCCCCGCGGCCCUGCUGCUGGCCCCGGGGAUCUGAGUCGUACCCUCUUGUUUUUCUCUGAGUCAGUCUUAAGGUGAAAUGAAGUGUGGCCCAGUGGCUCCUCACUGUCGCUUCUCUAGUUUUCUGCCUCCUUUUAGAAAAUUGAAUUGAAAAGACAGGAUGAAGUGGACACAGCAUGUGAAGACAAUUCUUUCAAGAAGUUUGGCUGUCAAGGAAAACAGAGAAUGUGCUAAAGAACAUACAGACACAGAGCAGACAGGCCACCUUUGCAACCACAUGGAGGUUUGUCUGAUAUUGAAGCUAAAGAAGCUAAGCUGGAAGACAGAGAGACCAAGUCCUGAUGACAUUGUUUGAACCCAGAGAUCCAGACAUGCCUGAAAACUAGUUUUACCACUGGACUUAUCCGUUGAAUGAGCCAAUAAACUCUCUUUUAUACUUAACCUUGGGUUUUACCUGGAUUUUUGUCAUUGACAGCUCAAAAUAUUCUAAUAUAGAAGUAUACAUCAUUAAAUCAAAAAAAAAAAAAA
rnacentral:lncRNA from 1 species